rnacentral:lncRNA from 1 species
GUUGAUUUAAUCAAAGAUUUUCUUGAUUUAACCAAAGAAUUUAUUACAUUUGGAUGUACUACAUGAAUGCAAAACCCUAGUCCUAGGGGUAUUGGGGGAAAUUUCCCUUCAAAGGUUGAGUGGUGCCAAUCACAUUAAUUGUGAAGCCCAAUAACGAUCCUUUGAAGAAGUCACGAAUAAUGCAAGUGGGAUGCAAAUGAAUGGAAUGCAUGUAUGCAAUGUGAGAUAUGUGAAGUGAGAAAAAUAAUAAAAAUAAUGGGAUGCAAGUGGAGGUGUGCAAAUGUAUUUACAAGUGUUUGUGUGCAAGUGAAGGGAUAAAAAGGUGUAUGUAUGCAAAUGGGACAAAAGUGUUCGUGUGCAAGUGAAGGGAUAAAAGGUGUACGUGUGCAAGUGAAAAUAUAAAGGUGCACGUGUGCCAAAUGGGAAGAAAGUGUGAUGAUAGAGUGGAUGCAUGAACCUAGG